rnacentral:tRNA from 1 species
AGCAGUGUGGCUUAGAGGAAAGAGCCUGGGCUUGGGAAUCAGAGAUUGUGGGUUCUAAUCCCGCUUCCGCCA